rnacentral:snRNA from 1 species
UGAUGUGAGGGUGGUCUGGCUACAACACGCUACCCUAUUGAUCGCCAGGGUGGACUGGGCUGCUCUGGCCGGCUAGGUGGGUGUCCCGUUCCCCUCCCUGCUCCAUGUGUCCCGCCAGAAGCCUGUGUGCUAGGUGGAAGGGGACGACCAGCCCCACUACAGGAGGACUGUUUCCUCAGUCAAGGAUACAAGAGCAGCUGCACUCCCCUGCAAAACCUCCGAACAAGCUCUCAAGGAAGACGGUGAAGUGAGAAAGAACAGAAUUUGAGAGUUUGGAUCUGUUUACAGGAAAAAAAUAUGACAUCAUUUUGU